AGAACAAACAAAGUUGUGCAAUUGGAGGGUACCAAAUACCAGCCAAAGCCAGGAUGAUUGUAAAUGCCUAUGCAAUCGGUCGAGAUCCCAAGACCUGGCGUGACGCUGACAAGUUCAUACCUGAGAGAUUCUUGGACGCUGCAGUCGAUUUUAUAGGGAUGGAUUUUGAAUACAUCCCAUUUGGAGGUGGAAGGAGGAUAUGUCCAGGCAUGAAUUUAGGUAUGGCCAAUAUGCAGCUACCUUUAGCCCAAUUACUCUACCAUUUUGACUGGAAGCUACCAGAUGGGGUCGCACCAGAAGAUUUAGACAUGACUGAAACUUUUGGAGCCACCAUUACAAGAAAGAAUAAGUUGCACGUGAUCCCCACCCGUUACCAGCCCUUGCAGGGUAACCAACAGAGAGAAGCCAUAGAAUUUGUCAAUUAAAUGAUCCCGUCCUCGAUAUAGAACAGCAUAUUGGAUACAACUUCUUUCCAUCUUCUGUUUAAAUGUUUGUUUUAGUGAUUUUGUCCUGUCUCAUGUGUCAUAUGCUGUUGUAUUGUGGAUCUUGGAUUUCUUUUUUUUUCUUUUUUCUUUUUUUCGUUUUUGAACUGCUAAUAGCAAGGAUUUCAUUACGAAUGAAUAUAACCAAAAUACAAAGCCCUCUCCAGGCUUGGAGGAGGAUUAACCAACCAGUUAGGGGGACGAAAAUUAGACAAAGCAAACUUUGCUAAACUGUCAGCAGCUCUAUUCACAUCUCUCCUCACCACUGAGACUGAUGCUUGAGCAAAAGAUGUUAAUCCCUCUUGAAUAUCAGGCACUAUAGCCUCUACAUCCCAACUAAUGUUCACAGCACGAUUAACCAUUUCCACUAAAGCUGCUGAGUCUGUCUGAAAAGAAACAACAUGACCUUUUUUAAUUGCUAAACGGAUAGCCUCCUUCAAACCCAAGGUCUCCCCAAAAUAACGGAAAAACAGUCAAAUUUCAUAACCUUACCCGAGAUUAAUUUUCUACGACUGUCCCUGGCGAUGACUCCUAAACAUGCCAAUUGCGAGUUAGUAUUCCAGGCCAUAUCAGAAUUGUAUUUGAUUGUACCCAGGGCUGGACACUGCCAUCUCAUCGCCUCUUGGCCACCAGAGGGGGGCUCGCUCAAUAAUCUGGAAUUAUGACUGCUCAAAGAGUCGCACUCAAAAGAAAAAGCUUGGUAUUUUUUCCAAGUAUCCGGAGGAUCAGGCAUAACCCCAUUGAAAACGGCUGAGUUACGAGCUUUCCAAAUAAACCAAGAUUGCCACAACCGACUCUCUUUCAGCUCCUGCAAACUCCUUAAAGAUAGCAUGCCACCAUCUUAGAAAGAAGAGAAGCCCAAAAGGGAAGGAGAGUACCUCAAAUAGCUGAGAAACCAUGUAGCUUUUGCAUGUGAACAGAAAAACACAGCAUGUUCUACCGACUCCUCUUGAACUUCACAAAUAGCACACAGGGGCGAGGAUACAACCUUACGCUGAAACAAAUUACUUUGAGUUGGAAGGGCAUCCGUGGCUAUCCUCCAUAAGAAGUUCUGAACCUUUGGGAUUGUUCGAAUCUCCAAAAGCUUCCCCAACACUUCUCAAGAUACGCUUCAUUAUCCACAAAAGAAAUCCGAGGAUGUGGGCUUGAACCUUCUUGCUUGAGCAUCAGGAAAUGGUACCCAGAUUUUACAGAAUAAGAGCCGUUCCUAUUCGCAGGCCAAAUUAACUUAUCUUUUGAAUAGAAGCCAAAGGGAAUUCUUUAAUAUAGCCUUGGAUUCCUGAGAGUUAAAAAGACUCCUAACCAGCCUCGAAUUCCAACACCUUAGAUCUUGGUCAAUAAGAUCCCUAACUAAAAACACAUCCGAAGGAUUAGGAGGCAAAAAAAGACACUUUAAACCUGGGAUAGUUGGGUAUCCAUGCAUCACUCCACACCAGAAUUUUUCCCCGUUACCCACAUUCCACCUAAUACCUUGUCUAAUGGCAUCCCUACCAAGAAUGAGACUACAUCAUAUCCAAGACGGACACCUACCUAGUUCUGCUGACCAGAAAUUUCCAGAGGGGAAAUAAACAUGCUUUAGCACCUGAGCCCAAAGAGUUGAGGGGUUCUCAAUGAGCCUCUAGACCUGCUUACCCAACAUCGCCAAAUUAAAAAUCUCCAGAUCUCUGAAACCCAUCCCCCCACAAAACAUAGCUCUAGACAGCCUGCUCCAACUCAACCAAUACACUCCCCUUUUUGAAAUGUCAUUCUUCCACCGAAACCUUGCCAGAAUACUGUUAAUUGAGGCACAAAAACUCUUUGGAAAUUUGAAAACAGCCAUAGCAUAUGAUGGAAUUGCAGUGAGGACGGCUUUCAGGAGGAUUUCUCGGCCAAAGUAAGAUAGUAAAUUAGUAUUCCAACCUGCUGCUUUCUCAGAGAUUUUAUUCAUGAGGAAUUGAAGCGCUUUAGUUUUUCCCUUACCCUACCAAGUAGGCAGACCAAGAUAGCUCUCUCCUUCAGUCAUAGUUGUAUCGUGGAUCUUGUUGUCUUUAGUACAAGGCAAAAUGUCAUCUACCUUUUGCAUUAUUAUUGAUUAGCAAAUAAAGUUACUUGUAAUUUUAUUAGGUUAAAUAUUCAAAACUUUAGAAUUUUAUUAAGCUACUUUCUUUCUAAAGUCUCGGGAGAUCGAGGACGGACAAAUUUCAUUUAAAGUUGAGAAUAAUUGAAUUAAAAUUAUUUUUCUAUAAUCAAUUUGAACUCAAUUGACAAAAAAAAUUAAAUUUAAAAGGCGAAACAAAAGUUUUACAAGUUCAAGAACUAAAAUAUAAACUUUUUGCAGAACUAUUUUUGUCCUCCUAAUCCAAUCGACUCUGCAUGUAGUUGAAUAGACUUUGUGUAGAAUCGAUCGACUCCACACAGUGCUGAUUGACUUAUUUUUCAAUUUUGAUACAAUUUUAUAUAUAUUCUGAUUUAAAAACGCUAAAAUUAAUACAAGAAGAUUUUAUAAAAAAUAUUUAGUGAUAAUUAUUAAAUUUUAUUAGUAAUUAUUUGAAUUUAAUUAAAUUGUAAAUAAAUAUUCAUUUAACUAAAUUUUUGGUAAAAUCAAAGGACUUAAUUAAUUAUUAAUAUUUAUUUAAUACAUCUAGAAUUUUCUAAAAUUUUAAAGUAUAAAUAUGUUAUUAAGUCUUAAGUCUAGGGUUGGUUACACUAAUUAAUUACUACUGUUAUGUUAAUUAAUAAAAAAUUUAAGAAAUAGAGAGAGAAAUCAAUUAAAUGAUCUCAUCCUCGAUAUAUAACAUCAUAAUAUAUAACAUCAUAUUGGACACAACUUCUUUCCAUCUUUUCUUUAAUGUUUGUUUUAGUGACUCUCGUUUCAUGUGUCAUAUGCUGCUGUAGUAUCGUGGAUAUUAGUUUUAUUUAAGGGAAAACAAUCCUAGAUACAUCGAUCUUUAACCAUUUUAUCAAAUCUACCCUCACCUUUAAAACAUAUUAAUUUGGUCCACCAUGUUUGCGUCUUGUAUCAUUCCUACCCACCCGUGUUUUGGUGUGUGCCACUAAUAACAUGGGGUCCACACGUUGCUCUAGUUUGUCUACGUGGAUAUUAGUUUUUUUUUUCUCCAAUUUUUUCUCCAAUUCUAUCCCCAAUUCUAAUUUCUAGGGUUUCUAAUUUUUACCCGUUUCGUCCAUACAUAUAGCCUCAUUUCGCCCAUUUCGCUCUAUUAUCUUUGUCCCUUCUCCUGUGGUCCAUUAUUAUUGAAGCUCGUGCCUGUGGUCCCCCACAAGAUGGCUCCUUCCAGAAAACGAUAACGAGGGUAUGUAUUUAUUAAUACAUUGAAUGGAUAAAGCAAUGCAAGUGGUGGGGAAUCUUAUUGUCGUGGGUAUAACAUUGUACGGAAAAUGCAUUUGUUAUCACUAUAACCUUUGAGCACUUGCAUUUUUUUAUUACUACAUGCAUUUGCAUUUGUUAUUACUACAUGCAUUUGCAUUUGUUAUUACUAGAAAGUGGCAUUUGUAUUGUUGCAUUACUAAUAUAAUUGUUGUGUGUAUAUUUCUGCAGUAUUUCUAUUGAAUUUCAUCAUGGUGGGGCAUUAAUUAGUAAUCCUAUAGUCAACUAUGUUGGUGGAUGUUUUGUAAAUCUUAGUGGCAUUUCUAGUUUCACUAUGGAUGAUAAUGAGGAGAUAGUGAAAAUAUUAGGAUAUACACAUUUCUUAAGUGUUGCCUAUGAACCCCCUAGGAGAUGGAACCCUAUAGGGAAUGAACUAGGCUUAGUUUUGGUUGAGACUGAGGAAGAGUGCAAAAAGAUGUUUGCAGAAGGUUUAGAGUAUGACUUUUUAAAAGUUUAUGCUGAAGUUGUAACAAUUACUCCAAAUUGUGGGCAAACUAUAACUGAAAAUGAGAAUCAACAUCAUAACGACAAUGCAGAUGAACCAUUGACUGUAGUUGAAUUUGAAAAUGCAAAUCAAAAUGAAACUGAACCUGAAAGUGUUGUAAAUAAAGGAAAAAAUCAAGUAGAACCUGAAUGUGUGAACAAUGUUGAUGACUAUGUUGGAUCUAGUGAGGAUGAAGAUUAUACCCCUGAAAAUGAUGAAUGUGAUGAUGAGGAUAGCCUAUCUUCUGAUGUUUCUGACUCAGAUGUGGAUGAGGAAUAUGUGACUGCAAAACAGAAUCUGAAGGACUUUAGCAAGACUGUAGUUGACAAUGGAUUUGGUUUAGAAUUGGAUAGGGACCAAGGGAGAGAUGACACUGGGUUUGUGGGGGCUAGUAGCAAUACUAGAGUGGAUGGCAAUAUGAGUGAUAAUAGUAGUGAGUGCCAUUUUGAGUACCCUGACAGUGAUGCUAAGGUUGAUACUCCUGUUUCAAGUGAUGAGAAUGAUUGUGGUUUUAGCAAAAAAAAGAAGGAGAAAAAAAUAAUUUACAAUCCUAAGUGUAAUCAUCAAGAGUUAAAGUUUGUAGCAGGAAUGAAAUUCACAAAUGUAAAACAAUUUAGAGGAGCAGUACAGAAUUAUGCUAUUGCAAAUGGGUAUGAUGUAUGGUGGAAAAGGACUAGAGAAGAUAGGAUGGAAGCACAAUGUAAAGGAAACUGCAGUUGGAGAGUGUAUGCUUCAAAAGUUCCAAAUGAGAGGACAUUCAUGGUUAAGACUGUUAAACCUAACCAUAACUGUGCUAGGGUGUAAAGAAAUAAUUUGGCAACUACAAAGUGGCUGGGUGAUGAGUUUUUAAAUGAAUUUAGAAAGAAACCAAAUUAUUCUGUAGCUGAAAUGGAAUCUGAUUUGAUGACAAAAUAUGCACUAAAGGUCUCAAAAUGCUCAUGUUAUAGGGCAAAAAAGCUAGCUUUAAUGAAGCUUAGAGGAUCAAUAGAGGCUCAUUAUGCCAAGUUGAGAUCCUAUGUGCAUGAAUUGAAGAGAGUUAUAGAGAAUGAUGUUUUGACCUAGAAUGCAAUAUAGAAGGGGAUAAUUCUGUUUUUCAAGGAUUAUACAGAUGUUUUAGUGGAUUAAGGAAGGGUUUUAUGGAAGGUUGUAGACUGUCAUAUCCCUAGAUGGUGCAUUUCUGAAGAAUAUACUUGGGGGUGCAAUUUUAAGUGCAAUUGGUUAUGAUGGUAAUAACCAAAUGUACCCCAUUGCUUAGGCAGUGGUGUUGGCUGAGAAUGAAAACACUUGGAGAUGGUUCCUAAGCAGAUUUUUUAAUGACUUGUCCAUUGACACAGGCAUAGGAUGGACCUUCAUAAAUGACCAACAAAAGGUUUGUUUAUUGCUUAUUUUUUCUUAUACUUGAAUCAGUUAAUAGUUAAAUUACUUAUAUGCAAUUUGUUUUGUUGAUGCUUAUAGGGCCUUAUUAAAGUAUUACAAGAGUAUGUCCCACAUGCUGAAAUAAGAAAUUGUUCAAGACAUAUUUAUGCAAAUUGGAAGAAAUUGCAUAAUGGAAUUGAACUGAAAUAACUAUUUUGGAAAAUUGUAUACAGUACAUAUGAAGCACAAUUUCUGGCUAACUUGAAGGAACUUAGAGAAGUUGAUCCUGAGGCAGAAAAUGGAUUUGUUUCCAGGGAUCCAAAACUCUUCUGUAAAGCAUACAUAUCACACUCUCCCUAAGUGUGACAAUGUUGACAACAACAUUGUUGAGACUUUUAAUGGAUGGAUAUACAAAACAAGGUUGCUGCAUAUUAUUGACAUGUUGAAAGAGAUUAGGGGUGCUUUGAUAGAAAGGAUUAAAAUGAAGUAUGACAUGGUGAAAAAUAGUAUGGAUGAAUUGUGCCCAAGGAUUAGAAAGAAGAUUGAGAAGUUAAAGUGGAAAACCAGAUUCUGUAUCCCAAAGGUAGCUUUGAAUGACAAAUUUCAGGUUAAAAUAUUUGAUGAUUAGUUUGUGGUGUCUAUACAGGAGUUGCACAUGCAGAGCUUGGCAACUGACUGGAAUUCCUUGCAUUCAUACAAUUUUCAGUAUUCAUUGGUUGAGGCAGAAUGUGGAUGACUAUGUUGAUGAAUGCUAUAAGAAGGACAUGUACUUACAAGCCUAUUAGUAUGCCCUUGAACCAUUAAAUGGCCAGAAGAUGUGGCAUGAGAUCACUGAGGCACCAGUGCAUCCACCACCAUUUAAAAAGAUGCCAGGAAGACCUAAGGUGAACAAAAAGAAAGUUGUUGAUGAAAAAGAAAGGGAUCCAAAUAAAUUAAGUAGAAAUAGAAUAAGGAUGCAGUGUAGAAUUUGCAAUGCAUAUGGACAUAAUAAAAGAGGGUGCCCAAGAAAGGAUAAUCCACCUGCAUCUAAAGAUAUUCUAGACAAUCAAGUAUAAUUUUUUUGUUAGAGCUGUCAUAUCACAAAUUAAGUAGUAUGUUCAUUCAAGAAUUUUCUACUUAUAACAGAGAAGUAGAAGGAGAAGUAGAUACCCAGCAGCUCCUACAAGUAAUGUUACCAAUAUUGAUGUACCAAAUCAGACUACAGUUGAAAAUGUAGAAGCUGGUCCUUCACAAUCCAAACCACCAUAUGAUAAGAGAAUAAUUGUCAAAGAAAGAAUUCAGUUAUUGUUCAUAACUUAGUUCUAUGUGAAUUAUACUUAGUAAUCCUAUGAGUUAUGUGUUGUUGUACUGCAGGCUAGAAAAGGAUAUGGCCUGCACAUAUCUACAGAGACUGGUAAUAUGUAUUUAAGAGUACGUACUCAACAUGUCAGAUGUGAAUCUCUAAUUUUGUGUGUUUUCAUAUGUUUCAUGUUCUAAAUAUAAAAUGUCAUAAUGCAGAUGCCAGGGAAAAGGAAUGUGAGGACUGUUAGUGGUUAUACAGAAACAGCAACAGCAGCAAGGCAAUCCAGAAAAAGGUAUGACACCCAAAGAUCAACUACAGCUACAAAGGAACAAAGAUCAACUACAGCUACUCAUGUACAAAGUGUGAAAGUUUGUAGCCAAACUUCAACAGCUAUAAAGGCAAAAGAGAAGGUGGUAGCUAGUUCCAAAGGCAAAGAUAAGGUGGUAACUAGUUCGAAAGGCAAAUAGAAGUUGGUACCUACAAAGACAAGACUAGUAAGAAUGCAGAUUUGGUGAUUCAAGAAGGGNNNAGAAGUUGCAAUACUGUGUUUUUGUUAGAGCUUAUAAAGUUGCAUGGAAUAAAACUGUCAUUUGAACCAUAUCAAUUAGUUUGCCUUUAUAUGUAUUGUUUUAUGUGUUUGUCUUUUUCAAGACAUAUGUUUAAUGUACCUUAUGAUUUUUGUAAGGAUUCUAUAUUAUAGUAAUGUUAAAAGGCUGUUUAAUGCCUAUUUUAUCUGUCCAAAUGUGAAUCUGUCAUAUUAACUAUAGGUUCAUUUUACUUCAUCAAAUCCAAAAGGAAUACAUGCAAAAUAUCUUAACAGAAAAAUAAGAGCUUCAUUGCAUAAUCAAUUAUAAAAGUUGGUAAUUAAAUUCACCAUUGAUUACAAGAUUCAACCCCACCCAUCUACUACAAAACCAAAUCCUACACCUUGCUACAUCAACUAUAAAGCUUGUCUGGCAGUGCAACUCCUAUCUAGCAGAAACAGGCACAAAGUUUGAUUGGAGAGUAACAAACGUUCAUUACCAUGUUCAACCAUACCAUAGAAACCAAAAGCUUUUCAAUCAUUCAUUAAACUUCCCUUCAUCAAACUUCCCUUAAUUAAACUUGGAAAGUAACUUCACUUAAUCAUUCAUUACAAUAUUCAACCAUACCACAGAAACUGAACUUGGAAAGUAACAAACGUUCCUUCAUAUUUUAUACAAUCAUGUAAGAGCAUAGCUCCACCCCAAUCGUCAAACUUCUUCUCAUCAGUGUAAGAGUUUAGCUCUGCCCCAAUCCUCAAACUUCUUCUCAUUCACCCAAUCGUCAUGAUAAGAGCACAGCUCCGCCUCUAAAUGACCAAAUUGAAACGAAAGCAUCAUUUUCCUUAGACAAGCUAAAGAAAUGGGUUAUGGAAGUUAUUAGUUGUAUUGUAAUUAGAAACCCUAGAAAUUAGAAUUGGGAAAAAAAUUGGGGAAGUAAUAGGGACGAAAUGGUGAGUUUUGAGGCACUUCUAUGUCCUCAGCCACGUAGACAAAGCAGAGCAACGUGUGGAUGCCAUGUCAUUAGUGGCACACACCAAAACACGGGUGGGUAGGAAUGAUACAAGACGCAAACAUGAUGGACCAAAUUGAUAUGUUUUAAAGGUGAGAAUAGAUUUGAGAAAAUGGUUAAAGAUCGGGGUAUCUAGGAUCGUUUCCCCUUUAUUUAAUGGGAUAAGUAAAAGGAAAAAUAUCUAGAUUAUGAAUAUCUCUUUUUAUACAUUAAAUAAUUGAUAUAAUCUAAUAAUUUUAAAUAAUUAUUAAAUAUUAAUCAUUCGAUACUAAUAUAAACUACAUAUAUAGUCAACCCUCUAAUAAUAAAUAUACUUGGUAAAUUAAAGAUUAUUAAUUAUUAGAAUAUUAAUUUAUUAAAUUUAUAAUUAUUGAAAAAAAAUUAAAAGUUUCAAUGCACCUUAUUAUAUUUUUAAUUAUGUUUUUUCUAUUAAUAAAAGUUUAAGAAAAAAAAUUAAAACUAUUAAUAAAUAUUGAGAUAAAAGUAAAAUAAAGAGCAAAAUACGAAGAGUCCAUUAAAUUUAAAUAAAAAAAUUCUUUUUAUAUUUAAAUAUUCUUUAAAAUAAUUUUCAAAUGAGUCCUUUAAAAUAAAUAGUACUAUUAAGGAUGCUCUUAUGUUUAAUUUGAAUAUAAUCUAUUAUAGUUGUAAGCUUUAACUUUAUUUUUAAAUCGAAUGGUCAUAAUACCAAUUAAAAUCUAAAUUUAAAUUUUAAAAUAUAAUAAUUAUUUAUUAGAUAAUAGAUUUCAACCAUUGAUUUUGAAUCCAAGAUUACAUAAAUAGGAUCUUUCAAUAUAUAUUAAAAAGUGUUGGCAAUAAUAAAAUAGAAAACCUCUGGUAGCCACUGUCUGGAGGAAGAAGAUCUUAUUGAUCAUAGUACCAAGAAGAUUAAGAGACAGUUUAUGGAUAUUGCAAUGCGUUAGUCAAGUCCUUGAGACAAAUAUGGAGGGGGUUGGCCAUAGAAAAGAAACAAUGAGUCCUAAGGUUUCUUUUAGAGAAAAGUUAUUAAGUUUGUCGCCUGGGUAUGGGAAUGAUGAGGAUGAUUUUAUUUCGGAUGAUGAAAAUGAUCUGGUUAAAUGAUUCUGAUAAUGUGAAAUGCCCUUUAGUCACAGUUCUUAAAUAAAAAAAAGCCCGGUUGCACUAUCCUUGGAGAUUGACCCUAAUUAUUAAAUUAUUAUGGCAUAAGGUUGGAUACAAAUAUUUUCAGAGAUGCAUUCGUGAGUUAUGGAGGCCUAAGGCUGCUAUGGAUCUAGUUUUUAUUGAGAGACAGUUUAUGGAUAUUGCAAUGCCUUAGUCAAGUCCUUGAGACAAAUAUGGAGGGGGUUGGCCAUAAAAAAGAAACAAUGAGUCCUAAGGUUUCUUUUAGAGAAAAGUUAUUAGAUUUGUCGCUUGGGUCUGGGAAUGAUGAGGAUGAUUUUAUUUCAGAUGAUGAAGAUGAUUUGGUUAAAUGAUUAUGAUAAUGUAAAAUUCCCUUUAGUCAUAGUUCCUAAUAAAAAAAGCUCGGUUGCAUCAUUCUUGGAGAUUGAAUCUAAUUAUUAGAUUAUUACGGCACAAGGUUGGAUACAAAUAUUUUGAGAGAUGAAUUCGUGAGUUAUGGAGGCCUAAGGCUAUUAUAGGUCUAGUUUUUAUUGAGAAUGGUUUUCUUCUUAUAAAAAUUUCAUCUUGGGUUGAUUUUAAUUAUGCAUUAUUUGAAGUACAUUAGAUAACUAUUGACCAUUACUUAACAUUUUGGAGAUGGAGCCAUGACAUCAAUCUUGAGAAGCAAAACUGAUUCUAUAUGGCUUGGGUUCGAUUUCCUUUCUACCUAUUGAGUACUAUAAUGAACAGUUUCUUAUCAUUGACAAAAAGAUUAGGAAGCCAAUCGAAAUGAAUACUAAUACUUGUGAGGUUUCCAGAGUUAAAUUUACGUGUAUGUGUAUGGAGUUAGACCUUAACAAACCUCUACUUUCAAAGUUCAAGUUGAGAAGACGAGUACGUAGAAUUGAAUAUGAAGGAACACACCUAAUUUGUUUUGAGUGCAUCAAGUUUGGGCAUUUAAAAAAACAUGUUAGAUCUCUAAUGUGCAAAGUAAUGAUGAAAUUCAACAAAUAGAGGUUAGGCCAGCUCCUCUAUUGGAAAAUGAAGAUAAAGAAGAAAAUCUUGCAAAUCUUGAAGUAUUAGAGAACUUUGGGUCUUGGAUUACCACCCAACAAAAGUCAAAGAACAUUUGUAAGAAAUGAGGGGUCUGUUUCUUUAGGGCACUUGAGGGGCAAAGGGAGUCUAUAUAAUCGUUGUCAAAAUGAUGUUAUCGAGGGAAUGAAUAAAUCAAGAUUUGUAGUGUUGAAAGUUGGCAAUGUAGCGGCAACUUAUAUGCACAAGGAGAUGAACCAAGCUUAUGUUUCCAAUUUUGAAAAGCAAACCCUUGUAGCUCAUGGCUUAGGACAAAAAGGUCAAUCUAGUUUUGGGUCUAAGAAUAAAAGGCCCAAUGUUCAUAGGUAGAUAAUGUGGUGCUACAGGAGAUUAUUAAUAAUUAGUCUAAGGGACUAUCUAUGAGAAAAAUGCUUAUUUGACGCUGCUCGAAAAUCUCAUCAAGCAGCUACUGCUCUUGAAGACACUGUGGUACAUGGUCAGAAAGGUAAAGAAACUUUUCCUAAAAUUGUUAGUCACAAGGAGGAUUAUUCUACAACUGUGGAUAAUUAAGAGCUAUUUAUUACGGAUCACUUGGCUAAUUUCAAGUCUGAGCAAGCUUUCUCUUAUUCUUUAAAUCCUCUAAAUGUAGAGGAAUUUUUAUCAAGCGGUGAUGAUUCUACACUUGAGGAAGAGGGCCUUCUAAAAGAUGUUGAUGAUGGGAUCCUAGCAGGGGUUGACAUGAUUAUUGAAUGAGGAUAUGCCCUUUGAGUGCUUCUUCCUCUUGAGGUUUUAUGUCAUUGUUUUGUUUGUUUAUUUCCUUUUUACAUUGUUCUAAAGUGCAUUUUUUGGAAUUGCCAAGGUUUGGUAUCUAAAGCGUUUGAUCAUACCUUGAAAUUUAUAAUUCCUAUUCACAAGCCAAGUGUGUUGGGACUGUUCAAAACUAAAGCUAAUGGUAAUACAAUUAAGGAUAUUUAUAGUAGGAAUUGUUUUGAUAGUUAGGUUCAAGUUGAAGCUCUAGACUAUAGUGGAGGUAUUUGGCUUUUCUAGAAGCUUGACGUGGGUGUUUCUAUUAUCAAAAUGCAUCCCCAAUUUAUUCUCUAUUGUAUAUCUUAGAGUGCUAAUGUUUCGUGGUUAUUAUUUAUGGUGUAUGCAUGCCCGAAUGAGCAGUUUCAUUCCAAGCUGUGGAAUGAUUUAUCUCAUCAUUUCAUCGAUCUAUAUGAGCUUGGCUCGCUAUUGAAAAUUUUAAUUCGAUGCUUUCGGUUAGCAAUACUUCCAACUUUUCUUGUAGAAGAAGUGCCUAUUUUAGUAAUUAGAUUUUUGAAGAGGCCCUUAUUGAUCUAGGGUUCUUUAGAACUCCUUUUACAUGGAUAAGGCCACAAAGGUAAUCAAGUUAAGAAUGCUCAUCUUGACCGAGCUCUCUAUAAUAUCCCAUAGAAAGGACUUUUUCCAAAAUGUUAUGUCUUUUAUUUACCUCAGUGUAAUUCAGAUCACAUUCUACUCCUAUUGCCUUUGAAGCAGAUUUUUAUGUUCUUAUUUCUAGAUCGUUCAGUUUUGAGGCUGCUUGGUUUACUAGUAGUCGUUUGUGGAUGUUGUUCCUUUGGAACCAAGAAGAAGAAUUGAAUUAGUGAUCUCAAAUUACAGAAUUAAGUAGUUUUGGGUAAAACAUAAGGAAAGAAAGAUUAAGGAUGUUUUGAAGAGAGUAGGGGUUAGAGAAGAUGCCACAAAGAUUUAUAGUGGUUCGGAAACAAUCCUUCCCACAUCCACUCCUUAAAACCACACUUGAGUAUUCCACUAUAAUCUUUAAGAUUACAAUCUUUGGAUUUUGCAAGUUCACCCCACAACUUGGUGUUUUCAAGGCUAAUACUAAACCUUUUCCCUUAGUGAACCAAUAUCUUACUAAGUCCCUUAACCCUUGAGUAUUAAUGUUUACUCAACAAUCAAUUCCUUGUGUUUUUAAUACUUAGCCUCACACAAAAAUCCUUUACACUCUUUAGUUGAAACAAUAGUUUCAACUUAAUACACUUUACAAAGAAAGAAAAUGGGUGUAGAAAGUUGACAAAUGAAUUUGUAAGAGUUUUAGUAUACCUAAAUUAAAUGCUUACUUAUUGAGUCUUUAAGAGGGGUACUUAUACUCAUACCAACCUCUUGAAGGUGUUAUAAUGUGUCUGAAACUCAUUAAAUGUAAAUUGAUGACUUGGAAAAAAAUUGCCUAAAGUCUUGAAAUGCACCCCACGCUUUCCAACGGCUGCAGACACGUGGCUCUGAUGGGGUGACUGAUAUCUCAGCAGUUACUAACAUCGUAUUAAUGGUGAAAACUGCCCCCACACCAUAAUAGCACCCUCGCGCCUACCUUGUUCGCGCUCAGAAGCACCAUUGCGCUUCUUAUUGCGAUAUCGUUUGUCAUUUUCAAUCUUAAGCUCCAAUAUGAAGCGCCCCCGCACUUCUUGAAGCUUUGACACUUUGACCGCCAAGUGUCGUGUUGUGAUUGGCAGGAUCUCAGAUGGACUUUUCAACGUCUUGUAUAAUUUUGAUCAUAUGAAAAGCACCCCCGUGCUCUCGCACUUUUUGGGUCUUUUUACAAGACUUCCUCGAAAGCUUAAGAAUGCUUAUAUUUUUGGAUAGGUUCCUUUGAUGUUUUGUCAUAUAGACACUUAGACACAAGGUUAGCAAUAUUCAAUUUGGAUGUUAAGAUCAAAUAGAGAUUAAUUGUCCCUUAGGUCAACAAUCUCUCACUUUUUGAUUUUGAUAACCAAAUUAAUUAGAAAUCCAAAAUUGAUCAUGUGUAAGUGCAAUUAAAUAGUUAGUAGUUAAUAUUCAAAAGUCAAAAGAAUAAUUUACUUGAUAGAUUUACUCUCCUUCAAUAUUUUUAUUUUCUCCCCUUUAGUUUUUACAACUAAGUCAUACUUCUCCCAUUUUUAUUCUUAUAAAUCAAUUUAUGCAUACUCCUCCCCUAUACUUCCUGGAAAUCAAUUUAAACACACUUCCAUCCUAUUAUCAAAAUUAAAAAGUAAGACAAAAGAAUUAAAUGGCAAAGAAGUAGAACAUAGAAAGAUAAAAUAAGACUUGCAUUAAGUGAAACAAUUUACAUGUAUGAUCAAUAAAGAUGAAUGUAUGCAUGAGAGAAAAAAAGAAAAAAAACAAAAAUAAUUUAAGAAAAUAGAAAAUUAAUCUUUUUCUUCUUCAUCCUCUUCUUCUUCUUCCUCUUCUUGAACCAUAUGCUUCUUACCUUUCCCUAAGCCACUUCUGCUUGCUUGAGGAGAGGGAAUGAGAGCCUCUUCUUCUUUAUCCUCUUUCCAAUCUUCCAUAUGGCAAUGAGAGAUCUUGGGAACUUUUUAGAUUUUCAAUAAAUUCGCAUGCAAGUGAUAGAGAUAAUUUCAAGUCCUCUCCAUUUGCUUUACAAUCUUUUCCUUAAAAGAGAGAGAGGGUUGUCCUUAGAAAUUAGAGGGAGUAGGUUCACUUGGCAAUCUAUGAUCCUUUUUUUCCUCUUCUCUCUAUCAUCCAUAUUUCUCCUAUUAUAAGGAAGAAUUCUUCAUCAACCUCCUGUUUAGGCCUAAGUCUUAUGACUUUGGCAUGCUCAAGAAAGACUAACUUAAUAAGGGAGGUGAGAUAUGAGGAGUAAGAGAGGAUUUGUUGAGAGGAGAAAUGAAUUGAAGAUAUUUGACAAUUUUAUUAAUGUGUGAAGAGACAAGAAUGACACCUUUUUGUGUAUUGCCAAAAUGAAGAAGAUGAUUAAGGAAGAAUUUAGAAGUGAGAAUGCACUUACCAUUUAUCAUAGCAUAGAGGAAGAGAAGGUCUUUUUAUGGCACUUUUUCCACCUUAUUGUCCUUUGCAUGGAUGUUAGUUGCAAUCAUCCUAUGCAUUACCCAUUGAGCUAAGGAUUUGAGGUCUUUGGAGAGAGAGAGAGUCUUUAGAAUGGGUUUCUUUGAUAGAGAUUUGCCUCCAAAGUUGAGAAAAUAAAAGAGGCAUGUCAACAAGAUUUUCAAUAAUGGAAAGGUAGCUUCUUUCUUAAAAAUCAAAGAAAAAUAAAAAUUGGGUUCUUGAAAGAUUCUUUUUCUUUCCAAAGAGUCUAAACUCUAUUUCAUAGUAGUCAUUCCCAUCUCCUUGUUUGUUAAUCACUAAGGUGGAAAGAAACUCCUUAGUGAGGUUUUCAAAUCCUAAUUCUAUGGAUUGGUAUAGAAAGAAGUCUUUAAGGCCAAUAUUUUCUAGAAGAGUAUUUACCUCGUGAGAAAUGCUAAGUGUGAUGAGGACAUUUUUAUCAAAAAGCCUAUUUGAUUAGGUCUUUUUUCUCUAUAUUAUCAUAAACUUGAUUUGAGCAUCAUUAUUGACAUCCUUCAUUCUUUCCAUGAUAGAUUCAAAGGAAGAAGAGCCUCUUCCAAUAGUCUUUCUUCGCCCCAUACCAAUUUUUAAAGAAAUUGGAGAGAGUUUGGGAAGAAUUGAAGUAGAGAGGAAGAAUCUUCAAAGCNNNNNNNNNNNNNNNNNNNNNNNNNNNNNNNNNNNNNNNNNNNNNNNNNNNNNNNNNNNNNNNNNNNNNNNNNNNNNNNNNNNNNNNNNNNNNNNNNNNNNNNNNNNNNNNNNGGGGCGGCGGUGAGAAAAUGGUCAAAAUAUGACUAGUCUUUCAUUAAAACACAUUUUGAAUAAGAUUGUAAUGUCUAGUUUUUAUAGAAAUCGAAGAGAAGCAUGGGCACGCCUGAGAAGCAUGAUCGCGCUUUUAAAAAAUUAGUCACAACAGCUAUAAUUUUAGGAAACCGCAAUCAUGCUGUAAAAUCGUGAGCGCAAUUUUAAGGUCAUUUCCAAGCUUUCACAUAGACCUAUAAAGUGCGAGCAUCCCUCCAAAGCGCAAGCGCACUUUUUACACUAUUUAAGCAAAAAAGGAAAAUUGUUUUGAUGACCAUGCAUUAUUUAAUUUGAUCACAUGAUUUAAUAUGUGAGUAUUGGAAUGCACAAAAAUUAAAGGUGAUCUUGUGCCAAGGUAAUUUUAAUACUCAAUUAUGCUAAAUAAUAAGGAUGCGUAAGUAUAAACAUCACAAUGAAAAGCAUACAUAAUUAGCAUAACAUAAAAAUUUAUUUAUGCUAAGGUACUUCCAUUUAUCAUUCCUAGUUCUCUUUUUAUGAAAUUCAAUCUUUCUUUAUUUAGGGGCUUGGUAAAAAUAUUGACUAGUUUCUUAUUUAUGUCAACAUACUCUAGCACUAUACUACCAUUUUGAACAUGAUCUCCUAAAAAAUAAUGUCUAAUAUCUAUGUGCUUACUCUUAGAAUGUUGAACAUGAUUUUAAAAAGGUCUAUAGCACUAGUGUUAUCACACUUAAUAGGAAUGUGAUCAACCUCUCUCCCAUAAUCUCUUAAUUGUUGCUUCAUCCAUAGGAUUUAAGCACAACAAUAUUCUACCACCAUAUAUUCUGCUUCCACGGUGGAGAGAGCAACCGAAACUUGUUUCUUACUAAACUAAGAUACUAAACAUUCUCCUAAAAGAUGACAAGUUCCAAAAGUGCUUUAAUCUAUCUAAUAGACCACCCACAUAAUUGGCAUCUGGAUAACCUAUUAUAUCAAAGGAUGUUUUUCUAGGAUAGCAAAGCCCUAAGUUCAAAGUCCCACACAAAUAUUUUAAAAUUCUUUUUAUAGCAUUCAAAUGAGACUUUUUGGGACAAGAUUGAAAUCUAGCACAAAGACAAACACUAUACAUAAUAUUGGGUCUAGAGGUGGUUAAAUACAAAAUUGAGCCAAUCAUACCUCUAUAGAGAUUUUCAUUCAUGCUCUUAUCCUUCUCAUCCUCAUAGGGGUCUUUCAUCAUCUCGAAUUUGUUUAGGAAUUCUUAUGUACUUGGAUUAGUUGAUGAAGAAAAAAUUUGAGCUCAUCCAUCAUGCUCAUUUUCUAAAUUUCCUAAUCAUACACUUAGCAAAAUCCUCACAAAGUAACUUAUUAGUAGCUCCAAACACAUUGUAUCAUCAUAAAUUUGAACAAUUAGAGUAUCAUGCUUGUGUUUCUUCAUAAAUAAUGUAGUGUCAAUCUUGCCUUUUCGAAAUCCAUUUUCAAUUAAAAAAGAACUAAGCCUUUCAUACCAAGCUGUAGGAGCUUUUUUGAUCCAUACAAGGCUUUAGAUAAUUUGAAAACAUGAUUGGAGGAUUUAUGAUUUUUAAAACCGGGAGGUUGCUCAACAUAGGCUUCCUCCUCAAUAAAAUUAUAUAAAAAAGUACUUUUCACAUCCAUUUGAAAUAAUUUAAAAUUCAUGUGACAUGCAUAAGCUAAAAGCAUCCUAAUAGCUUCGAAUCUAGUAACUGGAGCAAAGGUUUCAUUAUAAUCAAUGCCUUCCUUUUAGUUGUAACCUUUUGCAACCAAUCUAGCUUUGUUUCUAGUGAUAAAACCUUGCUCAUCUAACUUGUUUUUAAACAUCGAUUUAAAUCCUAUAAUUUGGUGAUCCUUGGGUCUAGGAACAAGUUCCCAUACUUUGUUUCUCUCAAAUUGGUUGAGUUCAUCUUGCAUAGCAAUCACCCAACUCUCAUCAAUGGUCCUUAGCUUAAUUUGAGAAACAAAGGCUAGAUUAUUUAAAGCUACUAGUUUAGAACGAGUACUUACAUCUUUUGAUAAGUCUCCAAUGACUUGAGUAGGAGGAUGAUCCUUUUUGAAGUUCCACUAAUUGGGAAGAUUUUGUAAGGUCUCCAACUCUUGAGGAUCUUGAGUUGCAAUUUGAUUUUGUUGGUCUUCUUGAAUUUCCUCUAUAGAUUCGUCUGCUCCUUUUGAGGGAUCAUCAACAUUUACUUUGAGUUCCUCUAGAGCACUUAUAAGAUCAUUUACACAAACACUUCUUCCAAGAUCAAGCUUGUUUGAUUUAUAAAAAAACUAUAUUUAUAGACUCUUCAACUACUAAAGUGUGUUUGUUAAAGACUCUAUAGGCUUUGCUUGAUGUGGAAUAGCCUAGGAAGGUUUCUAUGUCGGUUUUGGUAUUAAAUUUUCCAAGAUUUUCCUUGGUAUUUAAAAUGUAGCAUUUACAUCCAAAAACUCUAAAAUAUGAGACCUUAGGUUUUCUUCCUCUCUAAGGAUCAUAAGAAUUUUUGUCUAGUAAAGUUCUUUUGAAAACUAUAUUUGCAACUUAACAACUAGUGUUACGGCAUCAACUCAAAAGUAAGAAGGAAAUUUAUAUUCAUUGAGCAUUAUCCUAGUCAUUUCCACUAGUGUUCUAUUUUUUCUUUCCACAACUCUAUUUUAUUGUGGUGUUCUAGGAGAUGAAAAAUUAUGAGAAAUUUUAAAUUCUUUACAGAGGUUUUCAAAAAGAUCAUUUUCAAAUUCUUUUCCAUUAUUACUCCUUAUAGAGGAAAUCAAAUACUCUUUUUCAUUUUGAAUACGUUUUGCAAAAGAUUUAAAAAUAUGAAAUGCUUUAUUUUUAUGAGCAAGGAGGUUCGCCCAAGUAAAUCUAGAGUAAUCAUCAACAAUCACAAAUACAUUUGACUUUCCACCCAAACUAGCUACUCUUGUAGGUCCAAACAAAUCCAUAUAUAAUAGCUGAAGUGAUCUAGAAGUACUUACAAUAGUUUUAGACUUAAAGGAUGAUAGAUGUUAUUUUUUCAUUUGACAUAGUUCACUAGGCUUGUCUUUGAUGAACUUCACCUUGAGCAGUCCAUUUACUAGCUCUUCUUUAGCUAGCUUGUAUAGAAGCUCCAUACUUGCAUGUCCUACUCUUCUAUGUCAUAGCCAAAAUUCAUCACUAAUAGACACAAGGCACUUAAAAGAUUGAUUAGCAACUUUAUGUAAGUCAAUUUGUGUAGGUGUUGCCAUUUCUUUCUCCCUUGAAUAUAACUUUGUCAUCCACUAGGGUGUUGAUAAGACAUCCAUUGCAGUCAAAAGUGACUUUGUUUCCUUUAUCGCACAAUUGACUUACACUCAAUAAAUUAUAUUUCAAUCCAUCAACUAGAAAAAUAUCAUCAAUGAAUGAUUUACCAUCCUUACCAAUGGAACUGAUGCUAAUUAACUUACUCUUGACAUCAUCUCCAAAGGUUACUUUGCCUCCGUUAUAGUUCUUGACAUUCACAAAGAGACUCUUGUUAUCCAUCAAUUUGCCUUGAACAUCCACUAUCAACAUGCAAAAAAUUGGUGCUUGUGAAUUUAAGACACACCUACAAAAAAAAGUUAAUUCACUUGAUUUUAGGUACCCAAACUAGGCUGGAUCCUUUAGAGUUAGCAUUAGAAAAUGCAUUCAUGAAAAGAUGCAUCUUCCUUAUUUGGCAUUAUAACAUUGAUAUGUCCAAUUCUCAUGCAACAGUGGCAAGGGACCUUGGAGUUUUUAAGGAAGUUUGAGUUGGUCUUCUUAGCCAAUUUUUCUUGAGGUUUGGACCUCAAAUGAUUGUUUUAACACAUGCAUGAACAAGAUUUGUUAAUAUUUGAGUUUUUUUAUAUGAAUGCAUGCUUUGUUCCCUUUAGCUUAGCCUUUGGAAUAUAUGUACCUUUCUCUUUCUUUUGACUGGAAGGUCUAGUAUAUGUUUUGUCCUUUGAAACUCCAUUUGAGUUUCUCUCAAAUGCUUGUGGUUGAGUGACCUUGACAAAGAUUGUGUUGUGAGAUGAGGAUGACCCAAGUCCAUGUCUCACAAAGGGGAGGUCUUUGAGAUAUAACUAGUAUGUCAAGAGACUCAUUCCCUUUAUGAAACUUUGGAAUUGAGUUCUUAAGUUCCUCAACUUCAUUUUUUAAAGAAUUGUUCUCUUUAAAAACUUUUUCAUUUGAAGUUUCAUCCAAUAAUUUUCUUAAGUCCUCAUUGGAAGUUCUUAAGGAGGUAAUUUCCUUCUUUAAAACUUUAAGGUCUUCUCUUAAACUAGAAUAUUUGUUUUUGUAAAAGUUUAGUUUUGAAAGCAUGUCUUGUAAAAGCUCAUCCUCAUGAUCCAAUUAAUCAUCACUAAGAAAAUAAAAAGAUGAACAAGAAUAAGAAGAAUUGUAUGAAUCAUAAGUAGAAUAUACCUCAUGGAAUUCUUCUAUGUUUCCCAUGAAACAUAGAUUGGGCUGUUCUUCUCUUUCACUUUCAUUAUUGGAAGAUGAGGAUGCAUCAUUCCAAGUAGCUUUCAAGUUAUUCUUUUUUUUCUUUGCCUUCCUUCUUCCUCUUCAAAUAUUUGGGACAAUUCGGCUUGAUUUGUCCUUGCUUUCCACAUUCUUAGUAAGUGACUUCUUCUUUCUUGUCCUUGCUUGUUCUUGAUUUGGAGAAGGAUUUCUUGCUUGUGAAAGGCUUGUUGCUUUUUCUCUUUUUGGCUUCAAGUUAAUACAUUUUUUGUGAUGAGAGCCACAUUAUCACUCUCACUUAGUGCUUCCCCUUGAUCUUUAUCAUCACUUGGAAUAUUGAUUGCUUCUUGAGCUCUUGUGCUAGCUUUUAGUGCUAGGGUUUUCUUCUUCCUACUAUCUCUAUCAAAUUCAUCCUUCAUAAGAGACAUCUCAUUGGUUAGAAGCUUGCCUAUGAGAACAUCCGUAGGAAUUUUCUCUAGGUCUUCAUUUGCUUCUUCAAUACUAGCCACUGUAGCACCAUUUUUUAAUUCAAAGAAAGGCUCCUAAGGAUUUUAAUAUUGAUAUUUACUAGCUUAUAAUGCUCCCUAAGCUUCCUCAUAUUGUUGAUGAUGGUGAGAAGUUUAUUUAUCAUGUCGGUUAUAGACUCGUUUGGCUUCAUCUUGAACAUCUCUUACUCGGUGAGGUACAUUUGGAUCUUCCUUGAUUUAACUUGCUUUGUGCCUUCAUGAUAGUUCUCCAAGAUAGUCCAAAUUUAAUGAGUCGUAGUACAAUGUUGCACUCCCCUACAUUCUUCUCUAGAGAGGCAACUCACAAGUAUACCUAUUGCUUGUAUAUUCCUGUGGUUGUGCUUCUUGUGGGCAUCCACCCAUUCUUCUCUAGGAAGAACUCUUUCUUCACCAUGUUUAAUCUUGGUAGGAGCUUUCUAUUCCUUCACCACAUAGUCCCACACUUCAACGCCAUAGCAAUCCAAGUAGAUUUCCAUGUGAAAUUUCUAAAAAGCAUAGUCGGAUCCGUCAAAGAAUAGCCUGAGGUGUUAGGCUCCUUCAUUAGUUUCCAUGAUAUUUACACUCGCAAUAAAGCUUGAUAAAAGUGAGUUUGCUUUGAUACCACUUAUUAUCCUUUAGAACUAAGAAAUUAGAUUCAAUUGGUGACCUUAAAUUACGGAAUUAAGAAGUUUUGGGUAAAGCACAAGGAUUUAAGAAAGAUUAAGGAUGAUUUAAAGAGAGUAAGGGUUAGAGAAGAUGGUAAACAUGUUUAAUUGGGAAUAAUCCUCCUUACAUCCAUUUCUCAAAAUCAUAAUUGAGUAUUCUAUUAUAAUCUUUAAGAUUAUAAUCUUUGGGUUUUAUAAGUUCACCCAACAACUUGGUGUUUUCAAGGCUAACACUAAACCUCUUCCCUUAAUGAACUAAUCUCUCAAUAAGUCCCUUAACUCUUGAGUACUAAUGGUUACUCAAUAAAUAAUUCUCUAUGUUUUUAAUACCUAGGCUCACACAACAACCCUUCACACUUUUUAGUUGAACUAAGAGUUUCAACUUAAUAUACUUUAGAAAGAAAGAAAAUGAGUAUAGAGAGUUGAGAAAUGAAUUUGGAAGAAUUUUAGUAUACCUAAAUCAUACACUUACUUGUUGAGUCUUUAAGAGGGGUACUUAUACUCAUACCAACCUCUUGGAUAUGUUAUAACGUGUCCAAAACUUAUUAAAUUCAAGAUUGAUGACUUAGAAAAAAAUUGCCUAAAGUCCUGAAAAGCGCCCCUGCACUUUUUAAAAAGAGACGUUGGGCCUCCAAUGGCUCCAGACACGUGGCUCUGAUGGGGUGGCUGAUAUCUCCAUGGUUACUAGCAUCGUAUUAAUGGCAAAAAUUGCCCCCGCACCCUUGUGCUUGCCUUUUCCGUGCUCAGAAGCGCCCUUGUGCUUCUCAUCGCGAUAUCUUCUGCCAUUUUCAGUCUCAAGCUCCAAUAUGAAGCGCCAUCUCGCUUCUUGAAGCUUUGAUACUUUGACUGCCAGGUGUCGCGUUAUAAUUGGAAGAAUUUCAUAUGAACUUUUCAAUGUCUUGUAUAAUUGUGGUCAUAUAAAAAGCGCCCCCAUGCUUUGGAAGUGCCCUCAUACUUUUUGGAUCUUUUCAUAAGACUUCCUUAAAGCUUAAUAAUGCUUGUAUUUGGAUAGGUUCCUUUAAUGCUCUGUCAUAUAGACGCUUAGACAUAGGAUUAACAAUAUUCAAUUAAGAUCAAAAUAGAGAUCAAUUGCCCCUUAGGUCAACAAUGGAGCUUAUCACGAAUAACUUAGACAACUCAAAAUAUCUUGAAAUUAAUUAUAUAGGUCUUACUGGUAUCCUCAAGGAAUGGAAUGUUAAUAAUUUUAGGAAUAUUUUUAGAAACAAAAGAAGAUUAUGGGCGCAUAUUGACGGUAUUCAAAAGAAGCCAGCUUCUUCUUCAUAUCAAAGGCCACUUUAUCUUUAUCAAAAGCUGGGAAGAGAGCUAGAUCUUAUUCUAAAUAGGAGAAGAAAUAUUGGUUUCAUAAGUGUCAUGAGGAGUGGAUUCAUUUCAGAGACAAGAAUAUGAAAUUCUUUCACACUUCUACACUAAUUCAUCAAAAUAAGGGUCAAAUUAUAACACUUAAAGAUGAUAUUGGCGAGUGGGUUUAGGAUCAAGUUCAUUUGCAACAAAUGAAUUUGAAUAUUCUUAUAAAGCUUUACUCUAAUCCUAUUAUAGCCUCGAUUAAGCUUCUGAAGUAGCGGGCUUUGUCGUAGUCGCGAUAGUGGCUGUGAAACCUACUAUCUCCAUUUUUUACUUUUUUUGUGGGCGCUACUUCUUAGUUCGUGGUCACGAUAUUCCCUUUAGAUUUAACAGUCAUAUGAUUAUUUUUAACAGUCGCGACAAGCUGAUAACGGUUGCGAUUUAGGAGGCAGAGUUGAAAUUUAAUCUUUCUAAGAUAUGUACAAAUCCUUCACAGUAUACACUUAAAAACCAAGGUUAAGGACACACAACUUAAUUGUCAAGGUUAAGAUUAAGAGCGCCUUUAUUCAUGAAAGGAAUUAGGCUAACACUAGGGAAAGUCAAGGUCUCGAUUAGGGUUAUGCUCGAUCGAGCCAAAAUCUUAUCUUUCAAAAUUUGAAGGAUCAAAUUGGACCAAGUUGACUGAAAUACUUAGUGUUGGAUCAAAAGUCAGUCAGAUGGCCAAGUUUAUGGGUUAAAAAUUAAUUUUUCUCGAGUUGGCCAACCUCUAGAACCAAUAAGCUUUACAUAUAAGUGAUUAGUUAUACACAGAGCCAAUCAGGUUUGCACAAUGUUGAUUGGCUCAAAGUUUAGUUUUAUGGGCAUUUUCGACGAGUUUUGAAUUUUAAAACAAUUGUAAUUGUCACAAUUGAUUUUCUAAAGAGAUUUUAUCAAUAAUUUUUAAGUUUUAAUCAUUUUGAUAAUUAAAUGGAUUUUUAUCAGUAUUAUCUAAAGUUUUUAAAAGUAAUAUAUUUAUCACUUUGAAAAGAAUUUUGAUAAAAAAAUAAUGGAUUAUUAUUAAUUAUUGAUUGAAUUAUCAAUAAUUAUGGAGUCUUUAUCCUAGUCUUUAGGAUUCCCUUUACUCCUUUAUAAAUAGAAAAGGAAACCUUAAGCUAGGGUUGGCGAAUUUUGGUAGAAAGCGAUUUGUAAGUAUUUGGCAAGAUACACUGAAAUUUUAAAGGCAAACACUAAUCACCUAAAAACACUAUGGAUCCCUGUCCAAUCUUUGGAUUGACCUCUUCCUCUCCUCUUGAGACUCAAGGAUCUGCAUAAUAUGGUUAUAACCUGAGGAUUCUUCUACCCAUCUCAUUAUGUUUCCUCCUUUUAUGAUUAUUGUGCUUUAAUUGUUCACAUGAUUUGUGUCACACCCCCGUUACAUGCUAACCAACAGACAUUAGCCAGGUAGCAUACAAGCGUCGUAGACUAUAUACUACAUGUAGAUAGGUCAAUAUGCAGAUUGUUAAGAAUCAAGACACAAGGUUAUUAACAUAUAAACAUAUGAUUAUACUUAAACAUCAUUUAUUAAGUAUUCAAAACAUCUUCUUAUGCCUUAUAAGGCACACUUCCAUAUACAUCACAUAACUACAUACAAAAUGCAUCAGGAGGAGACUCCACAAAACUGGCCCAACUUGAUAGAACUACUAAAAGCUAGACUUCGCAUACAACCAACAGAUGCACUACUAUUUACAAACCUGAAAAGAAAAAUUUUGGAGAGGGGUGAGCCUCCAGCUCAGUAAAUAAAUAAUCAACAUAAUCUAUAUCACAUACACUUAAUACAAUUUCCACCCAAUCAUAUAACUUACCAUGAUUCAUAAUUUAGGCAUAAAUUCAUAUCAUUCUACUCAAUUCAUUACAACCAUCAUAAAAAAAAAUACAAUUCAGCAAUUAUGGUUAGUUCUCACGGCUUGUGGAUCCCCUUUAAUGUGCUGCUCUGCCUCAUCCUCACCUAUCGCACACGUAAGGUGCUCCGCCUCAUCCUCACAUUAUACACUUUUAUAGCCUCUCUAGGCUUUAGCCUCCCAAGGCUUUAUAUCUAUAUUUUUCACAGGGGAAUCCACCAUUCACAUGCACAUAUGCACUUAACAUCACAAUUCAAUCAUUUCACUUAUAUCAUAUUGAAGCAAUAACAAUUGUUCCACCCAACACCAAUCAUUUCCAUCUCAUUCAUUCAAACAUAACACAAUAUUAAGCAAACACAACCAUUCGUGGAACAUUUAAUUAAAUAUAUGAAUAUAGCAAAUAUUAACUAUUUACUUACUCAAAAUACACUUAUUCCUUCAGCAUAUAAGAACCUCCUUUCUCCAUAACUUCCUUUCCAGGCCUUUGAGUACCUGUCAACACAUUCAUCAAUUCACAUUUCAUGCAUAUUCCAAAUAUUCAUGUAAAUGCUAGUUCUAAUGCAUUACAAGAUCAUCCCCUCUCUAAUUCAUAGGUCUAACUCUUCCUCUAAGACUCUCAAUUAUUGUUUUAAUAUCAUAAAAAUAUUCUCCAUCUAGUUAAAUACUAAUUUAACUCAAAUUAACAUCAAAUAAAUUGCAUAAAACUAAUCUCCAACAUCUCUGUUUUCUAGAUAGAAUUUAGUACCAAGGUAUAUUUAUUUCUGGGCAAAAUUGGCUUAAUACAAAAAUCUCGUAUUAAAUAGAGAUAUCCGUUUAUGCGUUUAGUUUCAUCUCCAAGAAGAAUUACUCAAUUCCGAUUUUUAUAGAUUUAAUUAUCUUCAAAUUACUUAGCAAGGGUCAUACAGCUAGUUGUACCCGAGCAGAAAUCUUUUUGCUCAAUUUAAGCAACCAAAACGGCAAAAAUAGCAAAAUUACAAAACUACAAAGUUAUAGAGGACUCUUCAAAAUUUCCAUAGACACUAAUUAAGCUUAAUUUGGACUUAUAUAACCCAUGUUAUGCCUAAAAUACAGAACAUCAAGGUUGCUGGAAUUUUGACAGUUUUCUAUCUUGACAUACUUAAACUUAAAUCAAGCUUAAUCUCUAUGCAAUCAUUCAAUACUCUACUAAUUCAUGAUAAUCAGACCUUUAAUUAAUCAAUGAGAGCAUCAAUUGAAGUUUUUUCAAUUUUUAAUCAAGAACUCUAAUGACAAAUUAAUAACACUCAAGUAACAACUCACCAAUUUCAGCUUUUGGGUUGCUAAUAUGCUUAAAUCCUUUAGCUUUAGCUUGGCUCCUUCAAUAGUUGGUAAAAUCCUAUCUUAAUCUUAAGUUUUUCUAGGUAUUCCACUCCUCUCUCUUAUUCCAAAUUUUGUGUUUUUGGCCAUGUACGAAUUUUAGAGAAAUGAAGAGGUAAAAUGAGCUUGCUCAUGGUUCCAAUUUCCAAGAUUCAUCUCUCAAUGCCACCACCUACUUAAACUAGUUUUAUCAUCCUAAAUUAAUCCUUACUAACCAUAUAUAGGUACUAACUUUUAAUUGUAUCUUUUAAGUCUAAUCUAUUUACCCAACCUUCAACUAUUGGUUCAAUUAAGUCUUAAGGCUUAAUACAUAUAACCCAAGUACUUAAUCAACUUAUCUAAAUUAAUAAUCUAAUAUCAUGCUUCUUAUUCUCUAUUUAUAAUUAAUAUAUAUCUGUUCUCAUAAAAUAAAAAUAUUAUUGAUAUACCAUCAUAUGCCCAAUGAUUAAAUGUAAAUGCACAUAACAUGGAUGAUGAGAAAAUACAGGCGUUAUAAUUUGGGCUUCUUUUAUAACUUGCUUAGAUCUAGAUCUAAUAUUAUUUAUUAUGAUUCUGGUUACAUGACUCGUGUUUGGAAUAGAUCUGCAUGUUUAGGGUUUAAAUCUGAUAACCUUUUCUAUUAAUUAAUUAGAUUUGUAUGUUUAAGUUGAUUGAUUAAAAUAAUUUGCCAUAAUAUGAUUAGAUAAGUUAAAAUUAUCGUUCUUGAUUAGAUGUGUCUAGAAAAGUUUUAUGUUUCAUGUUUUACCAUCUGAUAAAUCUGCCUAAUUUUGUUUAAUUGCCAUUAUAUUUGGGGUUUAUCAUAUUCUUUUUUUUUUACUUCUUUACGAAUAACAAUCAAUUUAAACAUGAUGUUUGAUUGGAUUUUGCAUUUGUCUUAUUUAGGUAUUGUAUUAUUAGUAAAUUUGCUUGAAAUGUCUGUUUUCACAUGUUUAGGCUUGAAUCCUCUAUUUUAUCAUCUGUUUAUUUAUUUUCUCUAUUUUAAUUGCUCACUAAAUUGGGUUUGUCCUAUUUUUACAUGCAUGAUCAAUGUUUGGGUGAUUUGGGGUGUGAUUUUCGCUGAAAAUUCGAGAAAAUUCCAAAAGUGAUCGUUAUGUACCCCAAGGAGCCACAGAGCCAAUUAUUCAUUCCUCAGUCUAUCCAUUUUCAUCAUUUUCGCCAAAUAUCACCAUAUUUCACCCAUUCUAACUUAUUUGUAUUUAUUAUAAGUCUAGUAGUUGUAAGAAUAUUGUAAUUUUUUUAUUUCUUUUGCUUUCUUUUUGCUAUUUUUUUCUUUAUUUUUGUAUUCUGUGAUAAUUGGUGGAAGAUAUGUGAGUGAUUCAUAUGAUUGCUAACUAAAAUCAAUCCGCAUAGACUAUAAGCUUAAAAAUCUAACUCCUGCAUGCAAGUAGUAGUCCAUUAGGCUAAAAGACGAUAAAUUUAGACUAAACUAAUAAAAUUGGAUUACACAUAGACGGGCUUUGCCAUGCUUAAUUAAAAUUUGGCUCAUCUAGACUAACAAAUACAAAAAGAAGAGAGUAAAUUAUCUUUAGGGUUUACAAUAAUACUUAUGUAUCCAAUUGUUGUCUAAAUUUAAUGACAUAAGUUGUUCCUUACAUGUGCUAUUAAUGAUGUGAAGAUAGAGAAAGAAUAUUCUUAAAAUAUUCAUUUUCAAGUUUAGUAAAGUAUAGUGAAAAUUCAUUGAUAUCGUUAAAAUUAAAGUUUAGUAACACAAUACAAUUUAACAAAAAUAAAAAGAAGAAAGUAGAUUCACCUUAGGAUUUACAAUAAUACUUAUGUAAUCAAUUGUUGGCUAAAUUUAAUGAUUUAAAUUAUUUCAUGCAUGUGUCAUUGAUGAUGUGGAGUUAGAGAAAAAAUAUUCUUAAAAUACUUAUCUUCAAGUUUAGUAAAGAUUCACUAAUGUUAUUAAAAUUAAAAUUUAAUAUUUAUUUAGUUACAAAUUAAAAGUUUGGUAUUUUUUUGUUAUAAAAUAUAAAAGAUGACUGUCUAUAUAAUUUACCUACUAAAUAUGUCGAAAAAUUCACCGACGUUAUUAAAAUAAAAGUUUAGUAACUAUUUAGUUAUAAAUACAAAAUUUGAUAUUUUUUUAUAAUAAAAUAUAAAAUCUAAUGACCAACUAUAUAAUUUACCCGCUAAUCAAUUAACGAGAUUAAAUAUUUAUAAACUUUUUCCAAUAUAAGAGAGUGAAGUAUAUUUCACUAAACCUCAUAACAGUUUUUUAUCCGCACAAAAUAAUGUAACAAAUUCUCUAUCACACUGAUCUCAACGUCCCUUGAUGUAUAUAUUAAGGUUCAGUUAUUUGUUAAAUUAGUGUUUUUGGUUCAAUACUAUUCUAUUUAAUGAAGCUUAAUGCACUGCUCUAAGAAUUAGACUGACCCGAUUUGUUGAAUCAAUCGAUAGUCAAUUUGGUCUAACUGUAUAUAAUAACUGAAUUUGCGGUUAGACUAAUUCCAAUCAGAUUGAAUCGGCUAAACUGAAAUCAAUUAAUUUACAUAUAUUUAAGAAAAAUAGUAAAAAUAAAGAAAAUAAUCAAUUAUAAUAUUGAGACUGAAUAAUUUUGUGUUUGUCCAUUAUAAUUUUUAUAUUAAAAAAAAGGAUAAUAGUCUUUUAAAAAAAUUAUUACUUUUAAUUUAUUUUCUUACAACUUAUACAUGUUAUUUUAUAUUAUUUUACUUAUAGAUUUGAUAAUUAAAAAAAAUAUUAUAACUCAGUAUAUAUAUAUAUAUAUAUAUAUAUAUAUUAUUUAAUUAUUUAGUUUUUAGUGUGAAUUCUAUUAAGUAAAAUUAAAAUUUAAUCAAAUAAAAUACAAUUAAUUUUCAUCAAAUCAACGGUCCAACUAAUUAAAUUAGUGAAUAUCAUCUUGACCGAUUUGCCUCAACGGUCCAAUUUUAAAAAUAUUAAUUUAAUGUAAAUGACGAUGAAACUUGCAAAGGAGAAGUUUUUUCUUCUUUUUUUUUCUGGUACAAUCAAGAGUGAAGUUGAAAGAUAUCCGGAUGAGAUUUUUUAAAGUUGUGAUGACUCAUGUAGCCCUCGUAUAUUUAGACUUUCAUCACAACUAAAUAGAGAAAAAGAAUAUUAUUUACUGUGCUUAUUUUAGCGAAAUAACAUUUUCUCUUUUCUUUUUCUCAAGAAACAUUGUAAAUAUGAGUACUCACAGAUUCAAUAACGGAAUAGACAAAGAAUAUAAUGGCACAACAAUUCAUUUGUUUUAAAUAGAUUAAAUUGUAUUUGGAGCCUAGAAUAAUGUCUCCAAAGUCCUCAAAAACUCUUGAAUUAAUUUCAGUCUACCACUGAAAAAAAAAAAGUGAAAAAGAAAAGGAAUUUUAUUUUUAAAAUUAGAAAAAAUUUAAUUUUAUUUAUGCAUGGAAAUGGAUAGAUAAGGACAAAGAAGGUAUUUUAAAAGGAAAGAAAGUUGAGUUGAAAAAGAAAAAAAAAAAAAGAGAAAAUAUAUAUCAUAUUGUGUUUGAUUGUAUAAAAAUCUUAUUAAAAAGAAAGGAGAAGAAUUAAUUAAUUUUAAUUUUUUUAUUAUAAUACAAAAAUAAAAGGAUAAUUAAUUAUAUUUUAUGAGUUAAAAUUUUUUAAAAUUAGAAUGUAAUCAAUCUCUUUUUUCCUCCAAAAAUAAUUUUUUAUUUACCAAAAUUUGAAUUUUUCAAGGUGUAGUUAAUUGACUUUAUAUAAAUAAAUAAAUAUAUGGACUGACCCAAUUGUCUUCCUUCAACUUUCCUCUUCUUCCUUUGUUUAGUUAUUUACUCAUUCUUUGGUUUGAAUUCCCUCUUUAAAUUUUCUAUAUUUAUAGAAACUAUGGAUCAAAGAGUUUUCGGCAUAAGAAAAAAGCCCACCGGAGCUUUUCAUUUCUUCUUUAUCAGAAUCAAACAAAUAUGGGUUCUCUAGCUUUACCCCUUUCAAAGAUGGGAGCCCUUACUUUGCACCCAACAACAAUGGUGGGAUUUCCAACUUCUACUUCUGUCUCCCUUCAUUUCCAUCCUUCUCCUCAUCCGCAUCGACUGAAGGUACGGUGCCAAAAAACCGAAGCUGACCAGAAGGUAGUCAAGAAGUUGCCUCCGGGGCCGAUGAAGCUUCCUAUUAUUGGAAACCUGCACAACUUGGCAGGUAAGCUGCCUCAUCAUGCUCUCCAAGAACUUGCCAAAGAAUAUGGACCUAUCCUGCACCUGCAACUGGGUGAGGUUUCUACAAUGGUGGUUUCCGAUGGUAAGAUGGCUAAAGAGGUGUUAAAGACGCAUGAUCUUAACUUUGCACAGAGGCCACGACUUCUUGCUGCUGACAUUGUACUAUACGAUGGUAAAGAUAUUGCUUUCUCUCCAUAUGGUGAAUACUAUAAGCAGAUGAAAAAGGUUGGCGCCGAAGAACUCUUAGGGCCUAAGCGGGUGCAAUCGUACUCUUCUCUUCGUGAAGAGGAGGUCCAGAAACUCGUUGAAUCAGUUCGAUUGUCUCUGGGUAAACCGAUCAAUUUUGGUGACAGAAUUUGUCGCUUGACUAAUGUUAUAGUCUUCAAAGCAGCUUUUGGAGAAGAAUGCAAAGAACAGGAUACAGCCAUUGCAGUAUGCGUGACAGCAACAACCCUUGCCGGAGGUUUUCAGAUAGCUGAUGUGUUCCCCUCGUUAACGUUUCUUCAUGACAUCAAUGGUUUUAAAACGAAAGUAAAGGAAGUUGCUAAGGAAAUUGACAGAAUGUUGAGUGACAUCGUUGAGGAACACAGUAAGAAACUGACGAGCAGAGAAAUCAAUAACGAUGGAACAGAGAGAGAAGAUCUAGUUGAUGUUCUCUUGAAGCUUCAAAGAAGUGGCCGCUUUCAGUGUGAAGUAACAACUGACCACAUUAAAGCUGUCAUUUUCGUAAGUUCAGGGGAUGGUACAAUUUAUUAUUAAUCUCCAACAAGCUUUUGUGAAUACUUACUAAAAAAUGUCUUUGCAGGAUUUUUUCAUUGCUGGAACAGAGACGUCUUCGAACACUAUAGAAUGGGCAAUGUCAGAACUGAUGAGAAAUCCAAGAGUCCUGAAGAAAGCACAGGCAGAGGUAAGGGAAGCUUUUAAAGGGAAGAAAACAAUCCGCGACGCUGACGUUAAGGACUUGAAAUACUUGGAAUUAGUAAUAAAAGAGACUUUAAGGCUACAUCCUCCAUUGCCCCUGUUACUUCCAAGAGAAAACAAACAAAGUUGUGCAAUUGGAGGGUACCAAAUACCAGCCAAAACCAGGAUGAUUGUCAAUGCCUAUGCAAUCGGUCGAGAUCCCAAGACCUGGCGUGACGCUGACAAGUUCAUACCUGAGAGAUUCUUGGACGCUGCAGUCGAUUUUAUAGGGAUGGAUUUUGAGUACAUCCCAUUUGGAGGUGGAAGGAGGAUAUGUCCAGGCAUGAAUUUAGGUAUGGCCAACAUGCAGCUACCUUUAGCCCAAUUACUCUACCAUUUUGACUGGAAGCUACCAGAUGGGAUCGCACCAGAAGAUUUAGACAUGACCGAAACUUUUGGAGCCACCAUUACAAGAAAGAAUAAGUUGCACGUGAUCCCCACUCGUUACCAGCCCUUGCAGGGUAACCAACAGAG
rnacentral:lncRNA from 1 species